UACGAAGGGGGCGAGCGUUGUUCGGAUUUACUGGGCGUAAAGGGCGCGCAGGCGGCUCAUUUUGUCAGGCGUGAAAGCCCCGGGCUUAACCUGGGAACUGCGUUUGAUACGGAUGGGCUAGAGUUCGGGAGAGGAGAGUGGAAUUCCCAGUGUAGAGGUGAAAUUCGUAGAUAUGGGGAGGAACACCGGUGGCGAAGGCGGCCACCUGGACGGUAACUGACGCUGAGGCGCGAAAGCGUGGGUAGCAAACAGG
rnacentral:rRNA from 1 species